rnacentral:rRNA from 1 species
AUUGAACGCUGGCGGCAUGCUUUACACAUGCAAGUCGGACGGCAGCACAGAGAAGCUUGCUUCUUGGGUGGCGAGUGGCGAACGGGUGAGUAAUAUAUCGGAACGUACCGAGUAAUGGGGGAUAACUAAUCGAAAGAUUAGCUAAUACCGCAUAUUCUCUGAGGAGGAAAGCAGGGGACCUUCGGGCCUUGCGUUAUUCGAGCGGCCGAUAUCUGAUUAGCUAGUUGGUGGGGUAAAGGCCUACCAAGGCGACGAUCAGUAGCGGGUCUGAGAGGAUGAUCCGCCACACUGGGACUGAGACACGGCCCAGACUCCUACGGGAGGCAGCAGUGGGGAAUUUUGGACAAUGGGCGCAAGCCUGAUCCAGCCAUGCCGCGUGUCUGAAGAAGGCCUUCGGGUUGUAAAGGACUUUUGUCAGGGAAGAAAAGG